rnacentral:rRNA from 1 species
AAUAUUGCUCAAUGGUGGAAACGCUGAUGCAGCGACGCCGCGUGAUCGAAGAAGGNCUNNGGGUCNUNAAGCUCUGUCCUACGNNNNNAAAGGGACGGUCACUAAGGAGGAAGACCCGCCUUCCUCCGUACCUGCAGCCGCGGUAAUACGUAGGGGGCGAGCGUUAUCCGUAAUUAUUGGGCGUAUAGGGUGCGAAGUCGGCCUUUAAAGUCAGAUGUGAAAGGCUACGGCUUAACCGUAGUUAGCAUUUGAAACUAAAAGGCUUGAGUGCAGAAGAGGAGAGUGGAAUUCCUAGUGUAGCGGUGAAAUGCGUAGAUAUUAGGAGGAACACCAGUGGCGAAGGCGACUCUCUGGACUGCAACUGACGCUGAGGCACGAAAGCGUGGGGAGCGAACA